rnacentral:lncRNA from 1 species
AUGGGGAGAGGAACUCAGAAAUUCAUAUGCACCUCAACAGAUUCAUUUACCUGCAGGCAUUUUGAGCAACAGGACAGUUCAUUACUGGUUAUUGCUCAUGUGCAGUCUGAGAAGGUCCAGGACAAUGUACAAUGCUACCAAGAUCACUGUUGGUGAAAUGUUUUCCUUAUGCUUGCUUAUUUUUAAAUUUUGCACAGGAUAUGCCUAAAGGUAUGAUAACACGUGAAAAUAAAGAAUAUUGAUAUGUCAGUAGAAUUCUGAGAUAAGAGAAUACCUGGAAUAGAUGUCAAAAUAAGAAAAAAAUUCUGUUUCUUCAAUUUUAAAGAUGGCCCUCCAAAGAUCACAUUUUUUCUCUUUAUCUACAGAUAUGGCAGACCAGGGAAGUUGUUUACAAUUUACUCUUUCAUAAGUGAGCCAGCUCCUAGUCCAUUCCUGUGUUUACCCUACUCUGAGAUCCCUAUGUCACUCUUAAUUUUAAGUUUUUAUCAUGACCAAAGUCACUGAAUUUGUCUAGCCUAUGGCUGGCGUUUUAGACAGCAAGGAUAAAAAUAAAAAGGAAUAUAAUCAUGAGCUUAGAAAAAGUAAAAUAGCAGUAUUCCACCAAAUAGAUUAGUAAUUAUACUAGCAGAGAUAAAGGACAGACAUGGCUUCAGGGGGUCCUUUUGAUCUGUUCUUCAUAGUG